rnacentral:lncRNA from 1 species
CCUAUCUGGCUGGCACAGAGUGUUCCCAGGGAAGCCCGGACACCGGGAGGUCCAGGACCGGGUGUCCGGUCCCCGCCCCGCGGCGCGCCCUCGGGCACUCGGAGCCGCGGCCCCGCGCUGAGUGGGCUCGCGCCCGCCGGUCAGCUCAGUAGUCCGCCUACCUCUCUCCCGCCCCCGGGAGCCCCGGGCCGGGCCUGCGCUGGGGUCGCCGAUGGACUCCGGGGCGCGCAGCCCCCGCCGGGCCGGGAGGCGGGAGGGGUCGUAUCUUUGAGGGGUGGGGCUUCAGGGGGCGCGACGCUGCUCGGGGCCUCUGUGGGCUGCGUACCCGGCCCGGGCGCCCCCACCCUGGUGGAGAUCCCCCCUCCGAGGGCGGCUGGACUGGGCGGAGCAGGAGGGGGAGUCGCCCUUCGGGCGCGGCUGCCCCGCGCGGACCACAGCGCGUCCGCCCGGCCGCGGGCCUCGGGGGACCCCGGCGCCCUGCUCGCGGGGGAGAGAAUCUUGGAACUGGUUUGGCACUUCAGGGCGCCCGGGCAGCUCCCCCGAUCCUCCCCUCCCUCCACGUCGCGUUUCGGGGAGGACUUUCGAGCGGUUUUGUUUUCCUUGCUCCCGUCUAUUUUUAUUUUCCAGGGGUCUGACUCAUCCCGUGCUUUGGGCGUGGAGAUAAGGUGGAGGGACCAGAUCCCUGCGCGCCUGUGCGUGCGGGGGGUGUGUGUGCGCGCGCGCGUGUGUGCGUGUCACGGAGACGGCGCGAGAGCGCGCGGUUACCCAACCGUGGCGGGGGUUUCGGGAGCGGGGCUGGCUCAGCGUGACGUGUUCGCGGCCCCCAGGCCCCCUCCCGCUCUCCCCCUCCCCACCCGGGGUGACGCGCAGCCGGAGUGGAAGCGAAGUUUUGGCGGGCGGGCGCUUUACAGGAAACUGACUCAUCGCGACUCCCUGCCCCUGUCCCCGGCCCGGCCCGCGCGCCUCCGCCCUGCGCGCGAUUUCCUGGAGACCGGCGCCCCCUGGCGGCCGGCGCGAGCGCCCACACGCCGUCCCGCGCCCCGCCGAGAGGACCCCACUGGCUCCACGGUGUCCGCCGAGGGCUCGCUGCUUCCUUCGGGGUUAAAAUAUGCUUGGCGUCUGAGGCACAGAGGCCUACAAAGGAAGCCACUCUCAGUGACUUGUUUGUGA